GGGAAGAGCCCUGGAGCUUCCCCCUCCAGCCUGGAACAUGACUGGGAACCCCACUGCAGCCCCCCAGGAUUGGGAGAGGGACGAACCCCAGGAGAAGCAGAGCUGCAAGACACUGGAGGCCCCUUAGAAAUGAGAGAUGCCUCACGCUAGCUGGCAGUAGGAUUUUUGAUAUAAUCACAUAAACACACACAAUAAGAGGAUUGUAUUACCUGAAAUACCACUCUUGAUUUUUCUAAGAGCACCCAGCACAAUGGAGUCCUGGUCCACGAAUGGGCAGAGCCUCUGUGUGCGCACAAGUGUGAAGAGCUGCUUUACCUGGCCCCCCCUAAACACUCUGCAGGGGAGAGUGGUCCAUCCACCAAAGAGAUAUUGGGAGAUGGUCAUCAGUCCUUCUCCACAAGAAGAUGAAAGUAGCAGGUUGUACUCAGAGAAAAGGCAACACAGAACCAGCCUGGAAGAUACAGCACUGUA